CCUACGGGAGGCAGCAGUAGGGAAUCUUCCGCAAUGUACGAAAGUCUGACGGAGCAACGCCGCGUGAGUGAUGAAGGUUUUCGGAUCGUAAAGCUCUGUUGUUAGGGAAGAACAAGUGCGAGAGUAACUGCUCGCACCUUGACGGUACCUAACCAGAAAGCCACGGCUAAAUACGUGCCAGCAGCCGCGGUAAUACGUAGGUGGCAAGCGUUGUCCGGAAUGAUUGGGCGUAAAGGGCUCGCAGGCGGUUUCUGAAGUCUGAUGUGAAUGCCCCCGGCUCAACCGGGGAGGGUCAUUGGAAUCUGGGAAAGUUGAGUACAGAAGAGGAGAGUGGAAUUCCACGUGUAGCGAUGAAAUGCGUAGAGAUGUGGCCGGAACACCAGUGGCGAAGGCGAAUCUCUGGUCUGUAACUGACGCUGAGGAGCGAAAGCGUGGGGAGCGAACAGGAUUAGAUACCCUGGUAGUCCACGCCGUAAACGAUGAGUGCUAGGUGUUAGGGGGUUUCCGCCCCUUAGUGCUGCAGCUAACGCAUUAAGCACUCCGCCUGGGGAGUACGGUCGCAAGACUGAAACUUAAAGGAAUUGACGG
rnacentral:rRNA from 1 species